AGUCUAGUCGUUUCGACAGAAGAAAUUUUAUACUUCAGCUACCACGCAUGUCCGGCUCUCUGUUUCCCCCUUUCCUCUUGAUAUUUUCUUUAUCAAUCCCUCUUCCCUGUGUGCAAAACCUAGAUCUAAAUCGAUUCUCCUCCGACGUCGUCCCUAUCUCCCGCCGGGCUUUGUACGGUCUCCGUUCUCGUCUCCUGUCCUUUGGAUCGACGUCUAAACAAGCUGUAAUAGAUAGCAGAACCCGAAGCGAAGAAAUCCCAAAGAGAGCCGGAGGCCGAGCUCGACUGUGAACCCUUCAAACUUGUUGCUGCAAUUCUUCACCCUUGGCUGCUAAAUAAACAUUCUUCUGCCGUUUUUUGGGGGUUCAGAGAUUAGAUGCUGUGAUAUCAGUGUGAAGGGACCUAGCAACGAGGAAGCUGAUUGGCAUGGGUGAACUUAAAGAUGGUUUUUAUUAUUUCCAAGAAAUCACCAUUCUUGUGGCUUCAGCAACCUCUACCUGUGACACUGGGUUUGUCUUAUGGCAUCAACGACUUGGUCAUUGUUUUUUGAUAAAUUGUCUGUAAUUGAUAAUUUAAAUCUUCAAUUUGUGAAAACCAUCAAUAAGUGUUGUGAUGCUUGCCAUCAAGCCAAAUAAGCUCGUUAGUCUUUUCCUACUUUUUUUAUUAAAACUCAAAAUGCUUUUGAAUUAAUUCAUUGUGAUGUUUGGGGUCCA